GGCUCACCCGAAAGCUUCCAUUUCAAUGAUUUUAUACCCUUUUAUUUAAACAAAUAAUAAUAAUGGGGUUGGGCACAUCCCCAAGCGCAAUUUGAAUACAAAGGAUGGCCAUGCUUAAGCAAAAGCCUAGAUAAAAAAACAAAAGGAAAGCACAACAUUCGGUAUUCCUUUACUUUUAUUAGGUUUUUCACUCUUUAUCUUUUGAAAAAAAAUAUAGCAUUAUAUCUAUUGUGUAUUAUAUCAAUUGAUGAUUAAUCAAAAGUGUGAAUAGCAUUAUAAUAUAAAUAAAAGAAGGUCAAAAGAUCCCAUAAAAAAGGAACAAAUAAGCUCUAAGCUAAACACUUUUAUAGAGACCCAGUAUGCAUGCUUGAACAAAGGUCUAAGCCGUGCAAAACAAAUAGAAGCGAAGGUGGCCCUUCGGUAGUAAUUUCUUCAAGAUAUCAUAGCCAACAUAGAGUGAUGAUAGCCUCUAGAUUAAAAAAAUAGUCCCCACAUGAAGUGUUGAGUCUCGCAACAGAUAAAGCAAACACAACAAAUCUCACACUUUAAAACACACAAGAAUAGAAAAAAAUUUACAUAUAGUGAAGAGGCAAAUAGCAUAAGUUAAAUCUCACAUCAAGGAGAGCCAAAGGCCUACAUCGAGGCCAAAAAAAAAAAAAUUACUCUAAAGAGGCCACUUCAUGCUGAGAAAUGGUCACUAGCCAGUGAAGGAGGCAGUAAGAACAUGAGGGGUGGAUGAGAUGGAAUAGGGAGGGAAGAGGAAAGAAAAAUAUUAGGUGAGAGGAAGGGGCAAAGAGGGAAAGAAAGGAGGAGAAAAUGACAAAGGCCGAAUAAGGGAUGAGAGACGUGGAAGGAAGGGCCAAUGAGGUGGCUAUGAUUGGCCACUGGUGAGCCAAGCGGCCAACCACCAAGGAGGCACAAAAUGAGCAACAAAGGUGGUGGCUUUUUAAAGAGAAUAUAAAG
rnacentral:lncRNA from 1 species